GACGAACGCUGGCGGCGUGCCUAAUACAUGCAAGUAGAACGCACAGUUUAUACCGUAGCUUGCUACACCAUAGACUGUGAGUUGCGAACGGGUGAGUAACGCGUAGGUAACCUGCCUGGUAGCGGGGGAUAACUAUUGGAAACGAUAGCUAAUACCGCAUAAUAUUGAUUAUUGCAUGAUAAUUAAUUGAAAGGUGCAAUUGCACCACUACCAGAUGGACCUGCGUUGUAUUAGCUAGUAGGUGAGGUAACGGCUCACCUAGGCGACGAUACAUAGCCGACCUGAGAGGGUGAUCGGCCACACUGGGACUGAGACACGGCCCAGACUCCUACGGGAGGCAGCAGUAGGGAAUCUUCGGCAAUGGACGAAAGUCUGACCGAGCAACGCCGCGUGAGUGAAGAAGGUUUUCGGAUCGUAAAGCUCUGUUGUAAGAGAAGAACGGGUGUGAGAGUGGAAAGUUCACACUGUGACGGUAGCUUACCAGAAAGGGACGGCUAACUACGUG
rnacentral:rRNA from 1 species